CCUUCACCUUCAAAUCUAAUAACUCUAAUAAUCUUUAAAAAAAUUCUUUUUAAGUGUAAAAUACAGAAAACAUCCUAAUUUAUAAACUUUGAAGAGGGUUGAUAUACACAGUCUUUUCUUUAUUUUAUAGAGAUGCUGUGUUAAUGAUUCAAACCCAUGAUCUUUACUUUAUCAUUAUAUCAAUGCUAUCAUAUAAAAAAAAUGUAUUAAAAAAUAAAAAUUUAGAGAAGAUGUGCAGUAGUUGACAGAUUAAAUAAUGAAUUUUAUAAUUCUGAACAGCAUAUAUUUUGUGACAAGAUAAUGUGGAGGCUAAGGACUCAACUGCAUAGCUAUUUUUAAAGAUAUAGUCUUAAUUGAAUGAAACAAAGUUAUUCAGAAAAAAAAUUUAAUGAAACAAAGAAAAGAGAUUAAAA
rnacentral:misc_RNA from 1 species